AUUGUUGUUGAGCAACCGGCCACGAGAUCUCUAUCUAAUUGUUUAAUUUAGCUAUUGCUAUAAAUUAUUAGUUAUUAGUUAAUUGUAUUCUAAAAUAGUAUUGGUUCCGCCUAAAAGCCUUGAAUCGAAUUUAUAGGUUAGCAUAGAAUCAAUAACUGCUCGUUUAAUUCGUAUAUCGGAACGUUUAAUGAACAACAUAAGAUUUUGCACCACACACUACCAAAACUCGAAGUGACCCGUGUGAAUUAUAAGGAAGUUUACAAACGU